rnacentral:lncRNA from 1 species
ACCGUGCUUGAGAAAUGUAUUGCUCUAUCCAACUUUUAGAAAUGGGAAAUAUCCAAAUCCCCAGUGGUGCACCAGACUGUGUGUUUAGCGGACGAGGUGUCAAGGAAGAGGGAGCUGUUUGAGAAAGAACAGGAGGGAUCCGACAGGAGCCAUGUGUUCUCCAAACAGGAAUUUCGCAGCUUUUCUUCGGGAAUCUCUGAUCGAAUUAAUCGCUGGGUUCAGAAGAAAACAUUUACCGUGUCAUCACCAUCAUCACCAUCACCAUCAUCAUCCUCAUCUCAUAGUCCUUUGGAUCUGAGACAUGUGAACAUCUCCAUUAAGAAAAGUUUGUUUGAAAGAGGACAAGACCAGGACCACAAGUGACACUCUCAUGGAUAAAGACAAACUUUAAUGAGAUUCAUAAUGCAUCUCUGCAGAGUCUGAAGAUUUUGAAGGAAGCUUGAUCGACACUUUCAGACAGUCAGUGCCAAGGAUUGUCUCUAAACUCCCUUUCUGUCUGCUACUUUACAUUGGCUAAUUCCUCAGCACUUUUAAGGCAUAGUACUGAUCUACAUUAUUUGGGUAUAUUCAAGGCUUACAUUAUUGGUUGUGCAUGUGUGUACUAAUGGAUUGUGGAAUGCAACAGGACUGUAUUAUAGGGUCUUAACACAGAAACUGAACAUCACAGAGUUUAUCUGACAGCAGGAAUACAAACAUACAGUUUCUUUGUAUUGGUGCCAGACACUCCUCUGCCUUGUAGCUUGAUAUUUGUGCAGUUGAUAAGUAAGUUAUUAGGAGAAAGAGGCAUAAUCUGUCACCUCAGCCAUAACUCAUAACAGUCCAAGGUACAACUGUAAUAUCAUGAAUGUCUGUUUCAAUGAACCUACUCUAAAUAAACUUGAUGAUUCAUUUGUAAUGAAGCGGGAAUCAUGCGCUGAAGCUGACCUAUGCUCUCAAUGCUGUUGUUUCAACUUGCCGGAGACUUAAGUCAUAAUAAGGAAAUGUAAUUUAGAUGUAAUCUAAAUGGCAAAAUGUGUUCUAUCAAGCCCUUUGAAAACUGACUUCAAUCCAUUCCAACUCAAUCAAAGCCUACGUUUUUUUUUUUUUUUUUUUUUUUGCUGAACGACCUGUCAUGUAAUAAUCUUUUCUGC